rnacentral:rRNA from 1 species
CAUAUCAAUAAGCGGAGGAAAAGAAACCAACAGGGAUUGCCUCAGUAACGGCGAGUGAAGCGGCAACAGCUCAAAUUUGAAAUCUGGCUCCUUCGGGGCCCGAGUUGUAAUUUGCAGAGGAUGCUUCGGGUACGGGUUCCUUCCGAGUUCCCUGGAACGGGACGCCAUAGAGGGUGAGAGCCCCGUCUGGUAGGACACCCAGCCCGUGUGAAGCUCCCUCGACGAGUCGAGUAGUUUGGGAAUGCUGCUCUAACGGGAGGUAUACUCCUUCCAAGGCUAAAUACCGGCUGGAGACCGAUAGCGCACAAGUAGAGUGAUCGAAAGAUGAAAAGCACUUUGAAAAGAGAGUCAAAUAGCACGUGAAAUUGUUGAAAGGGAAGCGCUCGCUACCAGACAUGGGUUCGGCGGUUCAACCGGGGCCACGCCCCGGGGCACUCCGCCGGCCCAGGCCAGCAUCAGCUUUCCGUCGGGGGCAAAGGCGUCGGGAAUGUGGCUCUCCUUCGGGGGAGUGUUAUAGCCCGGCGUGUCAUACCCUUCGGGGGGCUGAGGUACGCGCUUCUGCAAGGAUGCUGGCGUAAUGGUAGCUAGUGACCCGUCUUGAAACACGGACCAAGGAGUCAACCUUAUGUGCGAGUGCCCGGGCGUAAAACCCCAGCGCGGAAUGAAAGUGAACGUAGGUGAGAGCUUCGGCGCAUCACCGACCGAUCCUGAUGUCCUCGGACGGAUUUGAGUGAGAGCAUAUAGGGUUGGACCCGAAAGAAGAUGAACUAUGCGUGUGUAGGGUGAAGCCAGAGGAAACUCUGGUGGAGGCUCGCAGCGGUUCUGACGUGCAAAUCGAUCGUCAAACAUGCGCAUGGGGGCGAAAGACUAAUCGAAUCUUCUGGUAGCUGGUUUCCGCCGAAGUU